CCUACGGGAGGCAGCAGCAGGGAAUCUUGCACAAUGGGCGCAAGCCUGAUCCAGCCAUGCCGCGUGAGUGAUGAAGGCCUUAGGGUCGUAAAGCUCUUUUACCAGGGAAGAUAAUGACUGUACCUGGAGAAUAAGCCCCGGCUAACUUCGUGCCAGCAGCCGCGGUAAU
rnacentral:rRNA from 1 species